UCUGGUGUAUUAAGUUUUUUUUUUUGUUUUGCACUCUCUCAACAGCACAAAAUAAUGGCUCUGAUAGCAAAUAUGUUUCCUUAAAAAUAAAUUAGAAAACUAUUAAGAGUAUUAAUUUAAGAUGAGAAAAGAGUCUGAUAUUCAUUCACACGUUAAAAUAAAACAAAAAAACCUUUAUAUAGGUUAUACAGGUAACUAACAAAAGAUAAUAUGGAGUAAAAAACUGUAGAUAUCCUAUUACCCACUAACAACAAAUUUAUAAGAACUGACUUUAACUCAUUCAAUUUUGGUAACCGAUUUUUAAUCAUUUUCUACAUAGUAUGCAUGUGCUUCCACAUUUCUGUUUGUGUUUAUGUAUAUACGUGUAUGUGUAUGUGUAUCUUUCUAUCUGUCAAUCUAUAUGUGUUUGUAAUGAUAUGUUUAUGUCAUGUAUAUGCAAACAUGGUCACAUUCGUGUAUGUUACAUAAAUAAGUUUAUGCACAUGUAAAUUGGUAUUAUGCUGGUAGCAUGCAUGCAUGUCUGCGCACACAGUUUAAAUCAUAUGCAUGUGUCUGAACAUGUUAUGUAUGCUAUGUGCAUGACUAAUUAUUUAUUUAUUGUAAGGGAUAAAUUUUGAAAGAUCACAAGAUAUAACAUUCACAUGCCUAUAAUAAUAUGACUCCAUACAAAUUUUCCGGGAAUAUUUUGAGAAUGGCAUAAUCCAAGUAUCCUCCUCUUAUUAAUUAUUGAAAAGAGUCCCAAAGCUUGGAUGAAACCAAGUGGCGGCCUUGUAACUGGUUGCAGGUUUUGUUUUUUCAUGUCUUUUCUAAACUUUCCCUUUGAAAUGCGAUUGGAAGGAACUUAAACGUAUCUCCAUUCAUAUAACUGGAUGAGCAAAAUCUCAAUUCAUAUAACUAGAAGUAUAGAAAGGCUUGCAUAGGUAAAUAUACAAUAAAAUGUCACAUACCAGUUGUAGCUUAUAUAAGCAGGGAAUGGUACGCUAUAACAUUCUUCAAAGGCAUUCAGUGAUAUGUAAUUGUAAGAUACCAUGCGCCUCACGAGUUCAAUUAUACAGCCACCAUCUCUCCAAAACUGUUGACAUUUAUAAGCCACACAAAAUAUAGACAACCCAUUGUCAGAAACAUAAUUUAUUUCUGCAAGAAAAAACAUAUAAUAUCUAAUUAGUAAGCGCACUGACCAUUUGGAGAAAUUAUAAAUUUCCAAAACCUCAAUUAUCACGUAGAUUACAAGGACUCUAAACCC
rnacentral:lncRNA from 1 species